rnacentral:piRNA from 2 species
UGGGUUUAAGUGUGAACGUAGCCUGGUUC